GGGGUUGUCUUGGUUUCGACAGGUUUAUGUUUGAUUCGGACUGCAGUGGUUUGGUAACCUAAUUACCACUUAAAUUUAAACGCUAACAGAAACAAUAGUUUCGCAUUCGCUGCUUAAUCGCACUAUAACGUGCCGCAGCGCCCGGCAAAUGCAUUCGCCGUUUGGCAUCUGCUGUGUAAUUUAAACGGAUAAGGUGAUCCUGAAGCCUGUAGGGUGAUCCCGACAACUGACAGGCAAAUUCAAUAAGCCGUUCGCUUGCUGUCAUACUUAUUGUCUUAUUCAACAGCAGGAUAAACUGUAGACGUCUGAAUGUGGGACUAUUCUUGGACAGGGGUUCGAUUCCCCUCAGCUCCACU
rnacentral:tmRNA from 1 species